rnacentral:rRNA from 1 species
CGAACGGGUGAGUAACGCGUGGGGAAUCUGCCUUUGAGCGGGGGACAACAUUUGGAAACGAAUGCUAAUACCGCAUAAAAACUUUAAACACAAGUUUUAAGUUUGAAAGAUGCAAUUGCAUCACUCAAAGAUGAUCCCGCGUUGUAUUAGCUAGUUGGUGAGGUAAAGGCUCACCAAGGCGAUGAUGCGUAGCCGACCUGAGAGGGUGACCGGCCACACUGGGACUGAGACACGGCCCAGACUCCUACGGGAGGCAGCAUG